AUGGGCCCCCGGCUCCUUGGCUGUGUGGUCCUUUGCCUCCUGGGAGCAGGCCCCGUGGAAGCCCAAGUGACCCAGACUCCGAGAAACCGCAUCACGGAGACUGGAAAGAAUGUGACAGUGACCUGUUCUCAGAACAUGAACCAUGAAUACAUGUCCUGGUAUCGACAAGACCCAGGGCUGGGUCUAAAGCUGAUCUACUAUUCAGCUAAGGUGGAGUUUGUGACUAAGGGAGACGCUCCUGACGGCUACACUGCCUCUCGGAGAGAGAAGCCGAGCUUCUCCCUGAACGUGGAGUCCACGCGCACCAGCCAGACGGCGCUGUACCUCUGUGCCAGCAGCUUAUCCACAGCGCUGCACUACGAGCAGCAUUUCGGACCCGGCACCAGGCUCACGGUCACAGAGGACCUGAAAAAGGUGACCCCGCCCAAGGUGGCUGUGUUUGAACCCUCGGAAGCAGAGAUCUCCCGGACCCACAAAGCCACGCUCGUGUGCCUGGCCACAGGCUUCUACCCCGACCACGUGGAGCUGAGCUGGUGGGUGAACGGGAAGGAGGUCCAGAGUGCGGUCAGCACGGACCCCCAGCCCUACAAGGAGCAGCCCAGCCUCAACGACUCCACCUACUGCCUGAGCAGCCGCCUGAGGGUCUCAGCCACCUUCUGGCACAAUCCCCGCAACCACUUCCGCUGCCAAGUCCAGUUCUUCGGGCUCACAGAGGAAGACGAGUGGACCCAGGACACAGCCAAACCCAUCACCCAGAACAUCAGUGCUGAGGCCUGGGGCAGAGCAGACUGUGGCUUCACCUCAAUGUCCUACCACCAAGGGGUCCUGUCCGCCACUGUCCUCUACGAGAUCCUGCUGGGGAAGGCCACCCUGUAUGCUGUGCUGGUCAGCGCCCUCGUGCUGAUGGCCAUGAUCAAGAGGAAGGACUCCUGAGGCCAGCUCCAAAAGUGCAUCCUGAGUCGUUCUUCAUCCUCACCUGGGAUUCUCCUGUACCAGCUCCCACCUGUGUCCCUAAAGAGUUAUUGUGUCUCCACCUCUCAUCCCCUUUCUACGUGGACAUCUGUCCUUUUUCUCUGUUUCCCCGCAGACGGAGCUCCCAACCCCCAAGUCUGUAAUAGACUAAAGCAAUAAACAUGGCGUGCUGGG